GUUCUGCUAUAACUGUCUUCCCUUUGGAGUUGCCUCUGCUCCCGCAAUUUUUCAGCGGUGCAUGGAAACGGUCCUGGCCGACCUUCCAGCCGUGCAGGUGUAUUUGGACGAUGUAUUGAUAGCGGAACGUCAAGCCGGUAAUGGCUUAGCGCUUCAGGACGUGUUGCGCAGGCUUCAAGAGAAUGGUACCAGGCUGAAGGCCAAAAAAAUGACACUUUUGCAAAGAUGCCAUCGUCUGCCUGGGCCAUCGCAUCGACAAAGACAGCUUGCAUCCGCUUGAGAAGAACCUAGCAGCAAUACGGGACUCACCACAGCCUACAAAUGUGAGUGAACUGCACUCGUUUUUGGGUCUGUGGACUUAUCACCAGUUCUUGCCACACAUGUCAAUGUUGGCCGGGUUGUAUUUUCUGCUUGAAAAAGAGCAUAAAUGGCAGUGGGGAACGGUGCAGGAAAAUUAAUAUCUCAAGGCUAAACAAACCCUUCUGAGUUCAUCUGUUCUGACGCAUUUCGAUCCCAACCAACACAUGCGCUUGGAAUGUGAUGCGUCACUCUCGGGUAUAGGUGCCGUAAUCUCGCACCAAAUUGGGAAAUUGGAUAAGCCCAUUGCCUUCCGUUCACGCACGUUAACACAUGCCGAAAAGAAUUAUUUUCAGCUUGAGAAUAAAGCUCUUGCACUGGUGUUUGGAGUGACAAAGUUUCGAGACUACCUGGUGGGCCGCGAGUUUGUAUUGGUCGCGGACCAUCAACCACUAGUGGGACUUCAACGAGAAGAUUAAGCUGUGCCCCCAAUGUACGGGCAAGCCGCACUCAGUCGCUUGCCUAUGCCGAUACCAGAUGCUUGUCGUUCGGGCACCUUACCAGAAUACAUGCAGUCUUCAGAGAACCUUGACAGCUCGUUCGUGCCAGUGGGUGCCAUACGGGUGUUGACGAAUGCAGAUGGAUACCUCAGCAUGGUGCAGCACUUUGUACUUAAUGGGUGGCCUAAGCGCUUGUCACCAUGCCACAGUCACCUUCAACGUUAUUUUUGCAGAAGACUGGAGCUGUCAAGCGUAGAAGGCCUGCUCUACUGGGGUCACCACAUCGUCAUACCCCGCAAAGCACGAGUCUCCAUGCUUGCUGAGCUACAUCGACCACGCCAGGGUGCAUCUGCGAUGAAAAGACUGGCUUGGGUGCUGUUCUGGUGGCCUGGGUUGAAUGUUACUCGCAGCCUCCCAGAUUCCAGUACAGGGACCAGGUGUGGGUGCACAACUUUGGCCAAGGGAGGCGUUGGCAUCCAGGCAUCGUCAAGAGCACUGAGGGUUCACGGCUGGUAACGGUUGACACUCCAGAUGGCCUAGCCAGACGUCACUUGGACCAAAUUUUCCGUCGGGUGCUUCUAUCACCCAUGGCCCCAAAAGUGGAGGCUCCCAACUCGCUUAACCCAGCCCGGACUACAAGAAUCGGCCGACAUCAACACGAGAAGGCCAGUCCAGUCUGGCCACUACAGAACCAACUGGUGCCGUGCCUGUUCCUUCAACACCUCCAACAUCCCUUCCAGCUGAACAGGCUCUCUGUCCCCUAAGUCCGCCAGUCUUACGGAGGUCUAUUCUACCCCAGAACGAAGACCCGUGCAAAGACUGCAGUUUUAAAAGGGAGGGAGAAGUGAUAUGAAAUGCUUGGAAGUGCUGUGCUAACAUGUGUCAAACAUGAUUCGUUCUUUUGUGUUAUGUCAUAGGCAAGCAGCCUUUAUAUAUAGUUCGUUGUCUCUGAAAUAAAUGUGUUGUGCGUUUGCUCUUGGGCCGUCUCUGUCACUCUGUCAUCCACUACAACAGCUUUGACAACCACUUUAUUGUUAUGACACCAAGUACUAACAUUUUAAAGAACACUUCUUAGUGUUGCCAAUGCUUUACUGGAGUCUUGUUAGAUUAAAUAUGUGGUCUACUCAAUAGUAAUGUUUUUGUGCACUGAGACGGGCAAUCUGCGAGAUUACUUAUGCAGACAUAAAGUAGGAGAUAUUGUAAUUGAUCAGGUGAAGUGCUGCGGCACCUGACACAUUACACGAAUGCAGCAGUAGGAACAUCAGUGUUGGGUGGCUUCCAUAAAGAACACUUUGUUAGCAGAAUGUCAUGUUCAUUAUAAAAUUCAGCUUUCUGUUCCUUUAGGAGUAGGAGUGUGCAUUCAGACCACCAUGGCAGCACUGGCAGUACUAAAGUGCCUCUGUCAACACCUCGUGCAGGUGUGUCACAGGCAUGGACCACUGCAGGGGAUGUUGGCAGUGGUCGUGGCUGUUUACAACAUGAGCAGCGAAGGACCUGUUUGUGAACUUGAAGCCCUACAUGCGCAUGCCACAGGCUACUACUCUAACUUGCUCAAGUGCCUGCACAACUCCAGUGGUGUUCAUAUGAUAUGGGUAGAGAUACUCGUGUAUCAUACCACCUGGACUGUGAGAAAAUACGUUCACAUGGGACAGCUGUGUAGGAACUACAGGAGAUCCAGUGCAAGGAAGGUUUUUAGGCAUAUUGAAGGGAAUGGCCUGGGGA